GACGAACGCUGGCGGCGUGCUUAACACAUGCAAGUCGAACGGAAAGGCCUGCUUUCCCUUGUGGAUUGCGGGUACUCGAGUGGCGAACGGGUGAGUAACACGUGAGUGAUCUGCCCCCAACUUGGGUAUAAGCCUGGGAAACUGGGUCUAAUUCCCGAUAGGACUGCAGGGUGGUGCCUGUGGUGGAAAACGAUUUUCUAGUGGUUGGGGAUGAGCUCGCGGCCUAUCAGCUUGUUGGUGGGGUAAUGGCCUACCAAGGCGGGGACGGGUAGCCGGACUGAGAGGGUGCACGGUCACACUGGGACUGGGAUCCGGCCCAGACUCCUACGGGAAGCAGCAGUGGGGAGUAAUGCGGCAUGGGCGGAAGCCUGAUGCAGCGACGCCGCGUAGGGGAUGACGGCCUUCGGGUUGUAAACUCCUUUCGACCGCGAGGAAGCCACCUGGUUGGAAGGGUGGUGACGGUAGUGGUAGAAGAAGCACCGGCUAACUACGUG
rnacentral:rRNA from 1 species